AAGUGUUGAUUUUUGAUGUUUCGAUAGUUAUUUUUCAAUGUUGCGACGGAGCGUCCGAUAAAACAAAAUUAUCGGACGUCCGGGCGCUAGCACUUCCCUAAAUUUUUUGCUAGCUUCAUUCAGUACCUUUUCCAUGCAAUGCAAGGAAGGAGAGAGAAUUAGUUUUUCGGAUCAUGCAUGUGAAAGUACGUGUUCGCUUAGCCUUGUUGCAGCACUGAUGCAAGGAGAUCGAAGGAACUUAAUUCUUCUUCUCCAGGAGCAAGCAGGAGGCUGCAGCAGGAACUUAACAUCCCAAGAGCUGAGGCAUCCAUCCAUGUCCCUGGCGUCGAUGAGGCAUCAUCUAUCGAUCCAUCAGUCCAACAAAAAAAAAACGCAAGGAACCGAUGCCUGCGAUUAGAUUCCAACCCGGGAUGGGAAGGCAGGCGUAGGUGCAGCCCACGUACACCGCUCCCGUUUCGUCGAUGCUUUAGCUUUAUUACGGAAGCAUAUCCUUCCCAUCUCAUCUGUAAUAAUCUGCUCUCUCCCACACCUCC
rnacentral:lncRNA from 1 species